GAUCCUGGCUCGGGAUGAACGCUGGCGGCGUGCUUAACACAUGCAAGUCGAACGAAGCACUUCAUAAAGCUUGCUUUAAGAAGUGACUUAGUGGCGGACGGGUGAGUAACGCGUGGGUAACCUGCCUUACACAGGGGGAUAACAGUUAGAAAUGACUGCUAAUACCGCAUAAAACAGCAGAGUCGCAUGACUCAACUGUCAAAGAUUUAUCGGUGUAAGAUGGACCCGAGUCUGAUUAG
rnacentral:rRNA from 1 species